GACGAACCGUGCGAACGUUGUUCGGAAUCACUGGGCUUAAAGGGCGCGUAGGCGGGCCUCCAAGUCCGGGGUGAAAUCCUCCAGCCUAACUGGAGAAGAGCCUCGGAGACUGGGGGCCUCGAGGGAGGUAGGGGCAAGCGGAACUAGUGGGUGGAGCGGUGAAAUGCAUUGAUGAUCCAUAGGAACUCCGGUGGCGAAGGCGGCUGCUGGACCGUCUUCUGACGCUGAGGCGCGAAAAGCGUGGGGAGCAAACAGGAUUAGAUACCCCGUG
rnacentral:rRNA from 1 species